rnacentral:tRNA from 1 species
UGUCCCGUUGUGUAAUGGUAGCACAGAUGGUUUUGGUCCAUCCAGUCCGGGUUCGAAUCCUGGCGGGACAA